rnacentral:rRNA from 1 species
CGUGUAGGCGGCCUGAUAUGUCAGAUGUGAAAGCCCUGGGCUUAACUCAGGAAGUGCAUUUGAAACUGUCAGGCUCGAGUAGGGGAGAGGGAAGUGGAAUUCCUGGUGUAGAGGUGAAAUUCGUAGAUAUCAGGAGGAACACCGGUGGCGAAGGCGACUUCCUGGCCCUAUACUGACGCUGAGACGCGAGAGCGUGGGUAGCAAACAG